rnacentral:rRNA from 1 species
AGUGAACGCUGGCGGUAGGCCUAACACAUGCAAGUCGAACGGCAGCACAGUAAGAGCUUGCUCUUACGGGUGGCGAGUGGCGGACGGGUGAGGAAUACAUCGGAAUCUACUUUUUCGUGGGGGAUAACGUAGGGAAACUUACGCUAAUACCGCAUACGACCUACGGGUGAAAGCAGGGGAUCUUCGGACCUUGCGCGAUUGAAUGAGCCGAUGUCGGAUUAGCUAGUUGGCGGGGUAAAGGCCCACCAAGGCGACGAUCCGUAGCUGGUCUGAGAGGAUGAUGACCCACAGGGGAACUAGGACAGGGCCCAGGCCCCAAGGGGAGGCAGCGGUGGGGAAGUUUGGACAAGGGGGGCAAGCCUGACCCAGCCAAACCGCGGGGGUGAAAAAGGCCUUGGGGUUGUAAAGCCCUUUUGUGGGGAAAAAAAAGAAGCAGGUUAAUCCCCCGCUUUUUUGAGGGUACCCAAAAAAAAAGCCCCGGCAAACUUCGG